AACGUAGGAGCCAAGCGUUAUCCGAAUUCACUGGGCGUAAAGCGCGUGCAGGCGGCUGGGUAAGUUGGAUGUGAAAUCUCCUGGCUCAACUGGGAGAGGCCGUUCAAUACUACCUGGCUUGAGGGCGACAGAGGGAGGUGGAAUUCCGGGUGUAGUGGUGAAAUGCGUAGAUAUCCGGAGGAACACCAGAGGCGAAGGCGACCUCCUGGGUCGUACCUGACGCUGAGAUGCGAAAGCCAGGGGAGCAAACGGG
rnacentral:rRNA from 1 species